GGCCGCAGCCGGUAGCAUCCAUCGGCAUCCGCGCCGCACGCCGCCGCCAUGCCGCCCAAGUUCGAUCCGACCGAGGUGAAAGUCGUGUAUCUGCGCUGCACCGGCGGGGAGGUCGGCGCCACUUCCGCCCUGGCCCCCAAGAUCGGACCGCUCGGGCUGUCUCCCAAGAAGGUCGGUGAUGACAUCGCCAAGGCCACGGGGGACUGGAAGGGGCUGAGGAUCACGGUGAAGCUCACCAUCCAGAACAGAUAGAAGUGGUUCCUUCUGCCUCUGCUCUGAUUAUCAAAGCUCUGAAGGAGCCCCCCCGUGACAGAAAGAAGCAGAAAAACAUAAAGCACAGUGGCAGUGUCAGCUUCGAUGAGAUAGUGAACAUCGCUCGGCAGAUGAGGCACAGAUCUCUGGCUCGAGAGCUGUCUGGGACAAUUAAGGAGAUUCUUGGAACUGCUCAGUCUGUGGGCUGCAGCAUUGAUGGCAGGCACCCACAUGAUAUCAUUGAUGACAUCAAUAGUGGUGCAAUCGAGUGCCCAGCUAGCUAAAUGUGGAAAAGAAGUUGCCAUAAGAAGGUUCUUACAUCUUCUGUAACACCUUAAAUGCUUAAUAAAACACCA
rnacentral:lncRNA from 1 species